rnacentral:tRNA from 3 species
GGAGGGAUACCAAAGUGGCUAAAUGGGGCGGGCUGUAAACCCGCUGGCUUACGCCUUCGAUGGUUCGAAUCCAUCUCCCUCCA